UAUUACUCUCUCUGUGAACAAUGAAAAUGCUCAAAUUUCUCUCACAAAACCUUACCUAACAAUUCAACCUCUCAUUUCUAAAACCCUAACCUCAAAAUCCCACAAAUAAUUCCCCCUCUUAAUUUCUCAAUGCCUUCAUAUAUAUCAACCUUAUCACUUCAGCUCUCCAAUGUAACAACAUCUACUUUUUCACUUAAAAAAUCCACCAUUACUGAUUUUAAUUCAACACCUCCAUUUCUUCAAGGGUUAAUUAGAAAACCCUUUAUUACAAUCAGUUGUGUAUCAGCAAAGAGGAAAACAGGUUCAGUGAGUGAGAAAUCAGAGUCUCAAGAAUUAGUUUAUCUUCUUUUGAGGAAUUUUAAUGACCAAAAACCUUUGAUUUCUACAUUGAAUAAGUAUGUUAAGAUUGUUAGAACUGAACAUUGUUUUCUUCUCUUUGAAGAACUUGGAAAGAAGGAUAAAUGGCUGCAAUGUCUUGAGGUUUUCAGGUGGAUGCAGAAGCAGCGGUGGUACGUUGCAGAUAAUGGUGUUUAUUCAAAGUUGAUAUCUGUAAUGGGAAAGAAAGGCCAAACGAGAAUGGCAAUGUGGCUUUUCUCAGAGAUGCGUAAUAGUGGUUGCCGCCCUGACACUUCAGUCUACAAUGCACUUAUAACAGCUCACCUUCACUCCAAAGAUAAACCUAAAGCUUUGGCCAAAGCCCUUGGGUACUUUGAGAAGAUGAAGGGAAUAGAAAGAUGUAAUCCAAAUAAUGUUACAUACAACAUUCUAUUGAGAGCUUUCGCCCAAGCACGCAAUGUCGAUCAAGUAAAUGCAUUGUUUAAAGAACUAGAAGAGGGUAUUGUUUCGCCAGACACUUACACUUACAAUGGUGUGAUGGAUGCAUAUGGGAAAAACAAGAUGAUCAGAGAAAUGGAAGAUGUCCUCUCCCGUAUGAAGAGUAAUCAAACUAAACCGGAUAUUAUUACCUUUAAUUUGCUGAUUGAUGCUUAUGGUAGACGUCAGUCGUUUGAUAAGAUGGAACAAGUUUUCAAGAGCUUGCUGCGGUCCAAGGAAAAACCUACAUUGCCUACAUUCAAUUCAAUGAUUACAAACUACGGGAAGGCGAGACUUCGAGAGAAGGCAGAAACAAUGUAUCAAAAGAUGACUGAUAUGGGUUAUACACCAAGCUUUGUCACAUAUGAGAGUUUGAUAACCACUUAUGGCUAUUGUGAUUGUGUUUCAAGGGCUAGAGAAAUAUUCGACGGUAUGGUGGAAUCUGGGAAGGAAGUUCCAGUUUCAACUCUUAAUGCUAUGCUUGAUGCCUACUGUAUGAAUGGAUUGCCCACAGAAGCAGAUCUUCUUUUAGAUAAUGUGUGUAGUAAUGGCUUGCAUCCACAGGCUUCGACAUAUAAGCUUCUUUAUAAAGCAUACACAAAAGCCAACAUAAAGGAACUCAUAGAUAAAUUGCUAAAGCGUAUGGAUAAAGAUGGUAUUGUUCCCAACAAGACGUUCUUCUUAGAGGCUCUUGGAGUAUUUGGGUCAUCUGGCUCAGGAUCAGAGUCGAAUAACAAAUCUCCUGGUUCCGUCAGUAAGCAGAUUAAGUCAAGAUCAGAGUCCAGUAGUAGAUUGCCUGGUUCUAGCAGUAAACAGAUUAAGUCAGGAUCAGAAUCCAAUAGGAGAUUGCCUGGUUCUAGCAGUAAACAGAUUAAGUCAGGAUCAGGGUCUAAUAGUAGAUCCACUGAUUCUGGCAGAUUGGUGCAAAGAAACAGUUAGAAGUUGUAGGGGUUCUGAACGUUGAAUAUAAGGCAUCUAUGUGUUUUAACUACGUUGACGACUGAUUGUAAAUUAGAUGAAGUUGACAACUGGCAAGCUGGAAGAUGCAAACCUCAAUUUGUUCGCUGUUGCAGGUGUAAUUUCUUUGGGAUUUUUAUGUGAUUCCAACACGUUCUCUAGAUGAAGCUGCCAAAUUGGCUUCAAAGUAUCGGAAACAAGGGUUCAACACCUUGAAGCUUAAAGUUGAAAAGAAUCUGAAUGCAGACAUUGAAGUUGUAAAAGCCAUAAAGCUUGCUCACCCUGAGUACUCAUUUAUCUUGGAUGCUAAUGAAGAACUAGCAGAUACGGUUUGGAAAUCUUUUUACCAAUCUGGCCAUAGAUAAGAACUGAGGUUCUUUUUUGCUUCAUAUGUCACAACUUUGCUAACCGUAGGCUAUUUUCCCUAGCCUUAGCGAAUAAAUUCUUGUUUUUGUUUUACUGAAGUGUUGUCUACGGGUGUUAAGAACUCUGACAUUUUUGAGGUAAUCCAAAUACCCCUGAUCCAGUACUGAAUUAAAUAAAGGUGUUUGGCUCUAACUCUAAGAAUUGGUCAAUUUCCCUUGUAAUCAAAUUACUGUGAACCAAGAACGGUGUAAGUUCAAUAAUUAUCAAUAUUUGAA